rnacentral:rRNA from 1 species
GAUGAACGCUGGCGGCGUGCCUAACACAUGCAAGUCGAGCGGAGUUGACAAGGGGAAGUUUUCGGAUGGAAUCUUGCCAGCUUAGCGGCGGACGGGUGAGUAACGCGUGAGCGACCAACCUUGCACAGGGGGAUAACGGACCGAAAGGUUCACUAAUACCGCAUGAGACCACGGUGUUGCAUGACACAGGGGUCAAAGGAGGAAUCCGGUGCAAGACGGGCUCGCGUCCGAUUAGGUAGUUGGAGGGGGAACGGCCCACCAAGCCUAUGAUCGGUAGCCGCCCUGAGAGGGUGAUCGGCCACAUUGGAACGGAGAUACGGUCCAAACUCCUACGGGAGGCAGGAGUGGGGAAUAUUGGGCAAUGGGGGAAACCCUGACCCAGCAACGCCGCGUGAAGGAAGAAGGUUUUCGGAUUGUAAACUUCUGUCCUUGGUGAAGAGAAGAAGACGGUAGCCAAGGAGGAAGCCCCGGCUAACUACGUGCCAGCAGCCGCCGUAA